rnacentral:tRNA from 1 species
UAAUUAGAAAUUAAUAAUUAUAAUUAGUUUCGACCUAAUAAUUGAUAAAAUAAACUUAUCCUAAUUUU